rnacentral:rRNA from 1 species
GAUGAACGCUGGCGGCGUGCCUAAUACAUGCAAGUCGAGCGAACAGACGAGGAGCUUGCUCCUCUGACGUUAGCGGCGGACGGGUGAGUAACACGUGGAUAACCUACCUAUAAGACUGGGAUAACUUCGGGAAACCGGAGCUAAUACCGGAUAAUAUAUUGAACCGCAUGGUUCAAUAGUGAAAGACGGUUUUGCUGUCACUUAUAGAUGGAUCCGCGCCGCAUUAGCUAGUUGGUAAGGUAACGGCUUACCAAGGCAACGAUGCGUAGCCGACCUGAGAGGGUGAUCGGCCACACUGGAACUGAGACACGGUACAGACUCCUACGGGAGGCAGCAGUAGGGAAUCUUCCGCAAUGGGCGAAAGACUGACGGAGCAACGCCGCGUGAGUGAUGAAGGUCUUCGGAUCGUAAAACUCUGUUAUUAGGGAAGAAAAAAUGUGUAAGUAACUAUGCACGUCUUGACGGUACAUAAGCAGAAAGCCACGGCUAAAUACGUG